UAUCACAUUUUUUCAGUACCUGAAAUAUUGACAAACCAACUGGUAAGUUUUAUUAGUAGAUUUCCUAAUAUUAUUCUUGUUCUCCUGAACUAAUUUUUACUUGAUAAUGAUGUGUUUUUACUUUGACACAUUCUUAGAUUUGAUUUGCUAAUUUUUCCUAAGCUACUUUUAUCAGGUUUUAAAAGUACCCCAGUGUUGUGGUACAAGGGUUAUGCUAGUUUGAUACAAAAAACUGGGAAACUUUUAGACCUUUUCUGUUUUCAGGAACAGUUUCACUGCACUGAAAUUUUCUCUUCCUUCAAAGUCUGAAACACUUACCAAUGAAACUACAUGGACCUGGAAGCUUUUUGGAAAACUUUUUGGUUAAAUUGAAAAAAAAUUCUUAUCAAGCUAUUAAGGUUUUCAUUUAUUGAGUCAACUUUGGAAAAUUGUGACUCAGAAUUACUGUUCUGUCACCGAGUAAAUGUGUGGUAAACUUAAGGGAGAAAACAUUUUUCUGACUUUUUGGAUGUGAGAAUUGCAACUAAAGGAUCAUGGAAGAACUCCCAGUAAAGGGCAGAGGGCCAGAUCACGGAGGGCCUUGCUGGUUCUAAUUAAGACUUUCUUUAGCUUUACUCUCUGUUUCUGCUUUUCUAUUUACCAUGUUCUUCCUCUCAUUCUCCUCAAGUGUGUAUUGUUCUUUUUCUGACAUCCCUAGCUAUUUAUCUCAGUGUUACUUAUUUCUUUAGUGGCCUAUUAUGUGAUCAGUUUUUAUAAAUGUUUAAGGACAUUGGAGGGUGCAGUAUUUCUAUUCAGCCAACAUUAUAGAAUUAAGUUAUAUGAAUCCUCAAUAGCUUAUUUCUUGCCUACUUAAGAUAUCAGUAUCUCCAACUUGCACAUUAAAGUCUCCUAUGCAGUGCUGUUUUGGUCUCAUUUCUCCUUGCAUUUCUAAUGAUUUUGGCUUUAUGCAUUUCAAUGUUCUUGUUUCACUAUAGGUUGUACCUCUUCUUAAUGUAAAACUUUUCUCAUAGUUCUCGUUUCAAUUUUACUUUGUCUAAUAGAAAUAUAUUAUCACACAUUUCCUUUUGUUUAUGGCUUGACCACUCUUUCAUUUUUACUUUAGCCUUAUUGUGCCAUUUUUUUAUAGGGGUUUCUUGUAAACAACAUAAAGUUCGAUUUAUUCUGUAUCUUCCAAUAUCUUCUGUCUCAAAACCUGUACAAUAACCAUGUACAGGUAUUGCCUUAAGUGAUCAUACCUAGUUUUAAUCUCUUAUCAUAUACUAUAUUUAUUAUAAUUUGUCUCCCACAGUAUAAAAUAUGACCUCUG